GACGAACGCUGGCGGCGUGCUUAACACAUGCAAGUCGAACGGAAAGGCCCUGCUUUUGUGGGGUGCUCGAGUGGCGAACGGGUGAGUAACACGUGAGUAACCUGCCCUUGACUUUGGGAUAACUUCAGGAAACUGGGGCUAAUACCGGAUAGGAGCUCCUGCUGCAUGGUGGGGGUUGGAAAGUUUCGGCGCUUGGGGAUGGACUCGCGGCUUAUCAGCUUGUUGGUGGGGUAGUGGCUUACCAAGGCUUUGACGGGUAGCCGGCCUGGGAGGGUGACCGGCCACAUUGGGACUGAGAUACGGCCCAGACUCCUACGGGAGGCAGCAGUGGGGAAUAUUGCACAAUGGGCGGAAGCCUGAUGCAGCAACGCCGCGUGCGGGAUGACGGCCUUCGGGUUGUAAACCGCUUUCGCCUGUGACGAAGCGUGAGUGACGGUAAUGGGUAAAGAAGCACCGGCUAACUACGUG
rnacentral:rRNA from 1 species